CUUUGGGUAAGUGGGCCUUGAGUGACUUCUCGGGAAACAAAGAGAAGGCAUUUCUAUUGGCUGUUAAGGAGCUGGAAAUACAUGGAGUUAAAGUAGGAAGUACAUGAAACUAGCUGCCAUUGGGCUCUACAAUCAUAUGGACCAGAAGGCAAUCUGCUUUACGAUCAGACGUGCCUCUGAAGAACAGAGGAUGAAGAGAAAGCAGCGGAGGAGGGCCACCCCGUGGUCUGAGGCAGCUUAAUAAAGAAACCUCUUUCCUGCCUUGAGGGACCAUCCCUGCAGCACCCAGCAAACACAGACACCCACUAUGUUCAAGGCUCUAGGGUGACAUGUGGCCCUUGGUGACUUGAAACCUCCAUCUAGUUAGAAAACAAAAUCCAGCAACCCAUAGACCACCUGAGGGCCAAACUGAUGCUGGGGGAGAUGGAGCAGCUUCUUCCGUCAGAGGAGCCGUCAAGCUGCGCCAUGCCAGGGCACCAUCUGCUGCAAGAUUGCAUCCCCUCUAAGCGGCAUGAGAGCCACAGCAGGGUGGGCACAAAUCCUCCUUCUCUUCACACCCCCACGCUGAUAAUGAGCUCACAAGCUGCAUAUGGAGCAGGUCAGGAAAGAGAGCAAACUUGCCUACCUCCCAAGCAAUGUUAAAAAAUGACAUCCGUUCCAGAUUAGGAGCACAUUCGCAUGCAUCCACUUCUGGAUAGUCUAAUACAUCUUUAUUAAUCUCAAAAUACGUCUUUUUAGUCAAUAAUAUUCUUUUAAUUAACCAUUAAAGAUAAUCUAUUAUUAAAUGGUUAAUUUUGCUUCUCUUAGAUAAAGACCAGAGAAUUCAAGUACAAACUUGCCCAUUCUGUUGACAGUAGUGAGAACUGACUGUGUGAAUUGAACAAUGCUUGCCCUGCACAGAAUGGAGAAGAAAGCAAAAUUUUGUUCUUCUGGGAACAUUUAAAAAAAUACAUUGAUACCUAACUUAAAUAAUUGAAUACAUAUCAUAAACAUACAAAUUACAACAUUAAAAAAUACUUACUACAAAAAGAUCCUGAACAUUAUUGGUUAAUGCAAAUAAAAUUUCUUCACAUUAUUAUAACAGUCAAAAUAUUUUCCAACUAUUUGUGCUUUAAAAACUAUUGCUAGUUCCUCUGGGAAAAGCCAAAAUAACUGUAUAUUGUAAAAAAAUGUUUUUGCACUUUUGACCCAAAUGCACACAUCAACACAAGAAGAGGCACAAUAACAUCUAAUAAUUGUUUUAAAUUUCCCUGAAAUUAAAAAAAAAAUCUAUGUAUUCAAUAAAAUACAUUUCUAUGGUAAUUGCUAAUUUUAUGUUUUCAUGAGUGCACAAAAGAACUCUUCUUUCUUGGUCACUGUGAAAGCAAACACUAGAUGUCUAGGAAUAUAUAUAUGUGUGUGUGUAUAUUUACAUACAUAUAUAUUUAA